GCCGAGGAAAACAGUGUCCAAACAGUAUAAAGUCAAGGUCCAGAAAGAUUAAAGAUCACUGUAAAUUUGAGGACGUUUAAUACGGGUACCAAAACGCCGGAACAUGCAGAGAGAAAAACCCUAAUUUGGAGAAGGGGUGGAUUGAUUCUCCAUAAGUUUCUUGUCCCUUCUCUCCAUUGCAACGUCCCACAUAUCGUUACAGACGUGCUUCGGCCGACCAUGAGCGGCUUUGUGGAUGUAAUACUGCGCAUUACCCAUCCCACAGAGCCUUCCUGCUAUGAUUCCGAGUGGUAGAGCUGCUUCUAACCAUCUCCAC
rnacentral:misc_RNA from 1 species